UCUACUCUGCUCCGAACUUUUGUUAGACCCCUUUCACACAGGCAAUUUCUGUUGCGGCAAUUCUUAGUUUUAUAGGAGAGGGCGCGACGAGGAGAGGAGAAUCGCGCCGAUUCUGCUGUGUUCGAGCAACACGCUUUGUGUUCUUAAGCAGCUACUACAUAGCUCGAGAAUGCGAAUGCGAACGUUUGACAUUUGAGUUGAAGACACAUGUUCUUAAGAGAUGAGCUACAUACCCAGCAAGUCGUGGGUACUGAAACUCCAAUAUAUUCAAAGAAAUUUUUAUAACACCACUACAUACACACAUAUGCAACAAAGGGCGAAAUGUGCAUAAACAUUUACCUCAACUCUUCUUUCGUACAGCACCCUGAAUGAUAGAAAGAAACAACCAAGAAGUUCUCGUUAUUAAACAAGUUUUGUUUUGAGCUACAUAUAUCAUGGCUGCUUGUGAAGUAUUAUUUUGCGUGUUUUGUUUAAAUUAAUGAUCUGUAACCUAAUUAAAGUUUAAAUUAUUGAAGCACGCAUUUUUAAAUAAGUAAAACGUAAAAUAAAAGUUUGCUAAAGCCAAAAUAUGCAAUUGAAGAGGGUGAUACAGUAAUACUUUGCAUUGUCAAUUCGAAGCACCCAAUAGAAGCUACGCCAACAAUGGUCAACAUCAAGGGCGAAACCAUUGAAUACAUAUUUCAAACCUCAUACGGCGCGUUAAAGGUACGCAACCUAAUUGGUGUCACUUAUGGUAGCAGCGUAGAACUUUCGAAUCGAUGGAAUAUGUGCUGCAAACAAAUCAAGAACUAUGGAUGCAAACGCUGCUACAUCGAACACAAAUAAUUUACACACCAGAUAUUAGGUUUAAUCUUACUUUUUUACGUGCAAUUAAACCUUUUGCUCAACACAAGCCCGGAAAGAACUGAAACGAUAUGGCUUAGGUGCUUUUGUAACCGUUUACUCCGUUCAAUUCCCGCGACGUGUGUAAACUGGGUUUUGCCAAUGAGCUAGAGGGCAAAGCAGUUGCAGUAUUUUUGGGCUUACCGGCGCUUAGCUGUGCCAUUAGCAGCUAAAACACAGAAAUUAGAGGGAGGACUUCUUUGAUCCAUUUUCACCUUGUAUUGAGGAAUCAUACCGUUGCUGUAUCGCUUUACAAGGACAUAAAUUCACCGAAAUUAGUUCAAUGGAAAUACUACAGCAAGAGCAUGGAUGUUCAGACUUGAACGGUGCCGUGCUAGAUUUAGAAUUCCUGAAACAUAAGAAACCCUCCUCCCAGAUGAAUCUAGUACUAGUGAAAUUAAUGAAAGAACAGAUCUUAUAAAAAAUCCGAAAGAAACCAAAAGAGUCCUCACAUAAUGUGCGCAGCUUACACUUCCAGACCGCACGGGAUAUUUGACAUUUUCCACUCUUCCUCCAGCCUUUGUCCGAUAGCAAAAAUUGUUCAAAUAUUCAUUUUCACCUACUUUAUACAUAUAUAUAUAGUGUAGUACGAUAAUAUAUUUAUAAAGUAAAUAUAAUAAUAAACAACUAAAUGGCAUGAUAUUUUAAAUAAAUAUGAAAUAUAAUUAAUGAUUUUGUUAUUAAAUUCUCAUUUGGGAUUUUGGUAGAACUAACCGAAAACAGAGGGUAUAGUUUCUGGGUUUUUGUGGGUCGCAGUACUGAAAGUACAAGUGGAGUUUUGGUUCGCAGUAUUGGGUCUUUCAUCCGUGAUUGUACCAAUAUCAUUCCCCAAAUUGUGCAAGAGGUAUAUAUACAUUGCUAAAUGAUGAAUGUAAUGUGCAAGAAAGGGAUGAACGAUCACACGUACACAAUAGUUUCGGGUACUUUUGUCAAUUCGCCCUUAAGAAUGGCAUAGAAACUUUCAUUGAAACUGCGGGUACCGCUCCCUGGCAUUUCACCGGAGAA